GAGAUAAGUGCUGAAAGCAUCUAAGCACGAAACUUGCCCCGAGAUGAGUUCUCCCUGAGACUUAGAGUCUCCUGAAGGAACGUUGAAGACGACGACGUUGAUAGGCCGGGUGUGUAAGCGCAGCGAUGCGUUGAGCUAACCGGUACUAAUGAACCGUGAGGCUUAACCUUACAACGCCGAAGCUGUU
rnacentral:rRNA from 1 species